rnacentral:rRNA from 1 species
ACUACGGGAGGCAGCAGUGAGGAAUAUUGGUCAAUGGACGAGAGUCUGAACCAGCCAAGUAGCGUGAAGGAUGACUGCCCUAUGGGUUGUAAACUUCUUUUAUAUGGGAAUAAAAUGUUCCACGUGUGGGAUUUUGUAUGUACCAUAUGAAUAAGGAUCGGCUAACUCCGUGCCAGCAGCCGCGGUAAUACGGAGGAUACGAGCGGUAUCCGGAUUUAUUGGGUUUAAUGGGAUCGGUGGUGGUUUGUUAAGGCAGUUGUGAACGUUGGCGGCUCAACCGUAAAAUUGCAGUUGAAACUGGCAGUCUUGAGUACAGUAGAGGUGGGCGGAAUGCGUGGUGUAGCGGUGAAAUGCUUAGAUAUCACGAAGAACUCCGAUUGCGAAGGCAGCUCACUGGACUGCAACUGACACUGAGGCUCGAAAGUGUGGGUAUCAAACAGGAUUAGAUACCCGUGUAGUC